rnacentral:piRNA from 1 species
UGAAUUGGAGCCAUGUCCUGCUACUUCUGU